rnacentral:rRNA from 1 species
UGGGGAAUCUUGCGCAAUGGGCGCAAGCCUGAUGCAGCCAUGCCGCGUGAGUGAAGAAGGCCUUAGGGUUGUAAAACUCUUUCACCGGUGAAGAUAAUGACGGUAACCGGAGAAGAAGCCCCGGCUAACUCCGUGCCAGCAGCCGCGGUAAUACGGAGGGGGCUAGCGUUGUUCGGAAUCACUGGGCGUAAAGCGCACGUAGGCGGAUUGAUAAGUUGGGGGUGAAAGCCCGAGGCUUAACCUCGGAACUGCCCUCAAUACUGCCAGUCUUGAGUCCGGGAGAGGUGAGUGGAAUUCCUAGUGUAGAGGUGAAAUUCGUAGAUAUUAGGAAGAACACCGGUGGCGAAGGCGGCUCACUGGCCCGGUACUGACGCUGAGGUGCGAAAGCGUGGGGAGCAAACAGGAUUAGAUACCCGGGUAGUCC